UUUAGUGUUGAAUUUUUCAAUUCCUGGAGGUUGCAUCAACUGGUAGUGCAGCCAAAAUCGGUUAAAAUUUGGAAAAAAUGGUCAAAACAAGGCACUCCGGUUCUUAUGUCAAUUCGGUUGUUCGAUUUCGUAUGGAUACCAUGCAAACCAAGCUCAAAUUGGUCCCUUGAUUGGUUAGGACUGUUAUCUGCCCAAUUGAAUUGAAUUACAGCUGCAGCCAUGGUUAUGAUUUUGAACUGAAAUUGUAUGAACUCAAGUUUAGCUGUCCAUUGGAUAAAGAACAUAUCUUUCUACAAUUAACAGAGUCACCAUAACUUUCAAAUUGAUUUCUUCUACGGUUCAUUGCCCUGCUGGACACGUCACAACCACCACUCAUCAGUCAUCAUCCCCCAGCAAUGCCAGACCUGUCCAAAACAACAAGUUCAUCAUAUCCAUCAAGGAAAGCAGAGAUCAUUAUGGCUAUUGGUUUACCUGGUAAUCUUGCUAAGCAAAUUCUGCGGCGGACAGGAUCAGGCUCGAACAGAGCAACAUCAAGGUUUCCAGAUGUUCCAACAGG
rnacentral:lncRNA from 1 species